UCCCCCACCCCCACGCUGCCUCUGCUCUGCUCUAAGCCCAGACCAGUCAGGGCACAGCUGAGCACCAGGUCCUGAGAUGGCCCCAGAAGAGGAGCAGAGUAGAUGAUACACUUCCCAAGAAUUGAAAGCUGGCAUUAUAUGUGAAAUGUCUCCUCUGUGAAAAGAAACACACAGAAACACUCCAAAGUGUGACCCAGAAAAACACUGGAAGGAGAAACUCCAGCUGGGAGUGGUGGCUGACAACGUGACCUGAACUUGGAUCUCCCGAGUACCGUCUUUCUCAGGAUAGAAAGAGGGGUUUCUUCCUCUGAUAUUUAGUGUCACCACCGUGCUGGCUCCCAAAAGCAUAAGAUCACUGCUUUCAAGUUCUAGUUCAAGUUCUCUAGAGCUGAGAUGGGCUGGCAUCUUAAAAAAUAACCUUACUUUGAAAACAAUAUCAAGAUUCC